CUCAGCAGUAUCAUGAAGAUAAGCCAUACCUUCCCUAGAAAGGAGGAAGCAGGAAGGGCACCAUCACCAGCAUACGAACACAUUUCCACCCAACACCAUGUCUUAAGUAUUUACAGGGUGGAGGCUGGAGAACUGAGAGAUUGGAACAUGGAGACAGACCAGAAGUUGAAGAUGUGAAAAGAUGUCUCAAAGUACAACUGUUUCAAAUGGUCAUUAGGAGCAAUUUAAGUGACCAAGGAUAGUAUGUGCAUGAGCUUCUGACAUUAGCUACGUGGAUGCUUCCUCUAUUCAGAGCUGAGUAGAGAAAAGCCUUUCCCUAAAGGAUGAUUUCAGGCAAGAAUUUAUUUUAGCUAUCAACAUGA